GAUGAACGCUGGCGGCGUGCCUAAUACAUGCAAGUCGAGCGAACAGACGAGGAGCUUGCUCCUCUGACGUUAGCGGCGGACGGGUGAGUAACACGUGGAUAACCUACCUAUAAGACUGGGAUAACUUCGGGAAACCGGAGCUAAUACCGGAUAAUAUAUUGCACCGCAUGGUUCAAUAGUGAAAGACGGUUUUGCUGUCACUUAUCGAUGGAUCCGCGCCGCAUUAGCUAGUUGGUAAGGUAACGGCUUACCAAGGCAACGAUGCGUAGCCGACCUGAGAGGGUGAUCGGCCACACUGGAACUGAGACACGGUCCAGACUCCUACGGGAGGCAGCAGUAGGGAAUCUUCCGCAAUGGGCGAAAGCCUGACGGAGCAACGCCGCGUGAGUGAUGAAGGUCUUCGGAUCGUAAAACUCUGUUAUUAGGGAAGAACAAAUGUGUAAGUAACUAUGCACGUCUUGACGGUACCUAAUCAGAAAGCCACGGCUAACUACGUG
rnacentral:rRNA from 1 species